CGCACCUUGCGCUCCAUGGUAUUCCGUGGAGCAUGCCUGUUUGAGUGUCAUGAAUACUUCAACCCUCCUCUUUCUUAAUGAUUGAAGAGGUGUUUGGUUUCUGAGCGCUGCUGGCCUUUACGGUCUAGCUCGUUCGUAAUGCAUUAGCAUCCGCAAUCGAACUUCGGAUUGACUUGGCGUAAUAGACUAUUCGCUGAGGAAUUCUAGUCUUCGGACUAGAGCCGGGUUGGGUUAAAGGAAGCUUCUAAUCAGAAUGUCUACAUUUUAAGAUUAGAUCUCAAAUCAGGUAGGACUACCCGCUGAACUUAA
rnacentral:misc_RNA from 1 species